UACGUAGGGUGCGAGCGUUAAUCGGAAUUACUGGGCGUAAAGCGUGCGCAGGUGGUUGUGUAAGCUUGAUGUGAAAUCCCCGGGCUCAACCUGGGAACUGCAUUGAGGACUGCACGGCUAGAGUGUGGCAGAGGGGGGUAGAAUUCCACGUGUAGCAGUGAAAUGCGUAGAGAUGUGGAGGAAUACCGAUGGCGAAGGCAGCCCCCUGGGUCGACACUGACACUCAUGCACGAAAGCGUGGGGAGCAAACAGG
rnacentral:rRNA from 1 species